rnacentral:rRNA from 1 species
CCUACGGGUGGCUGCAGUGGGGAAUAUUGCACAAUGGGGGAAACCCUGAUGCAGCAACGCCGCGUGAGCGAUGAAGGCCUUCGGGUCGUAAAGCUCUGUUGUUAGGGAAGAACAAGUACGGGAGGAAAUGACCGUACCUUGACGGUACCUAACGAGGAAGCCACGGCUAACUACGUGCCAGCAGCCGCGGUAAUACGUAGGUGGCAAGCGUUGUCCGGAAUUAUUGGGCGUAAAGCGCGCGCAGGCGGUCUUUUAAGUCUGAUGUGAAAUCUUGCGGCUCAACCGCAAGCGGUCAUUGGAAACUGGGAGACUUGAGUGCAGAAGAGGAAAGCGGAAUUCCUAGUGUAGCGGUGAAAUGCGUAGAUAUUAGGAAGAACACCAGUGGCGAAGGCGGCUCUCUGGACUGUAACUGACGCUGAGGCACGAAAGCGUGGGGAGCGAACAGGAUUAGAUACCCCUGUAGUC